CCACCGCUCCACCUCCUCGGCGACCCCCGAGCCCGCAGCUCCUUUGGCCGCAGCGCGGGCUUUCGGGUUCCCGGCCUCUGAAAUUGCUGGGUUCGCGCCUGCGCUCCCGCGGGGCGGCCUCAGGGCCCAACGCGCGGAAUCCGGACACAGCGCCCUCGCCGCGGGCCGGACCUGGCGAGUCCCUUGGGUCCGCGCUCAGCCGCCACAGCGGGGCGUGAGGGCGCCACAAAGCAGCCCACGUGGAAACCCCCGCGAGAACCGGGCCUGGGGCAGAAGGGGCAGCAGAUCUGAGGCUUGGCAGGUCGAGGGCGCCUUGGGGAGCCGCCUCUCUGUGGGGCUUCUCGGAAGGGAAGGUUCCCAGAACGCAGCGGCAACGGAGUGGGUGAUGCUGGUCGCCCAAACCCCAGGCUGCUCUGGGUGGGCGAUUUUGUCCGCGGGCUUCCCGGGGCUGCGAGCCAGCUUCUGGGAGCUGCUCGGGAGAGCGGCCGCUCUCUCUGCUCUCCUGCUCUAAUGCAGAGGGCAGAUACCUGAUUUCAUGGAGUUCCAAUAACUUUUCAGUAACUUAAAAAUCCUUGUCAAGAAGAAACUACCGUAGCAAGUUUCUAUGUUCAUUUUGAAAAACUGGCCACUGAAGGCGGCUGCAUGCUUUUCGAACGGAACUUGUGACCCCUCCGGGAUGGUGUAAACUUAUUCAGCUCCAAAUAUAGUCCAGUAUUCUGCCCUGCAUUCAAGGAGACCAUUUUUUUUUCCACAUGAAAAGUCUUACAGACACACAAACUUCUCUUCAAACCAGUGUCGGUUUCAUUGCAAGGAAAUAGCAGAGUGUUUAAGAUGGAGAUGGCUAUGGCUGAGCUGGAACCAGAAAAGGGGACCAGGUGUGAGCCAGUGGCCAGCCGGAGGCGGAGGCGCGCACCUGAUUUCAGCCGAAGUGGGGGAGGGAGAGCUGGAGGCCCGGAAGAGGUCGGCAGAGGCUUGGUGGUGGGGGAUGUGGGUAAAUGAGGAGGCGGGAAGCAGAGAUGGGCGAUAAAAUCAUUCUGAAAAGGCUAGAGAAUCUGCUUGAGAACCUAUUCUCCCCCACCCCCAAGCUCACCCCAUACAGCCCAUUCUUCGCUAAUUUCCUCCUCGCUCUAUUUCAGCAGUUGGAUGUAUCUCACACUGGGCGCCAUAUGCUUCACAAUAACUUUAAAAGUAGUGAAUCGGCUAAUUAGCAUUUUUCUUUGAAGUAAAAAAUAAAUUUGCUCUGCAAUAUUACACUGCAGCUCUCGAUCGCAUCACAGCCAGUUUUCUUUUGGAGAGGUUGGCUGGGGAUUUCAAAUCAAAGCACUUUUGCAAAGGAAAAAUCACAUACUUCUUUUUGAAACCUCAUGUUAAAGGUUGGAAAAUCCGAUGGGCAGUGUGUCUCUUUUCCAUGGGCAGGGGUAGUUUUUUUGGUUUUAGGGUCCAAGAAUAUAUUUCGUAAUCUUUGCUGGUCUGAUAAUUUCCUUAAGAUGAGCAGCAGUUUGGUUUAAUAAAAACAGGACCUAAUCGAACAUUUAAAGCACUUUUGAAACCAAAGCCAACUGCUCUCUGGCCAGACUGUAAGGGCUUGUAGCUGUCAAUCAACCCCCAGUCUACCCCGCCUCCCUCAUUAGGAAGGUAAACAAUGAAAAGAAGAAGUAGAUGAUGAGGCAGAUAGCAGAACAAAUGAGGACCUAGAGGGAAACAGGACACCAACUUAAAAAAAAAAAAAAAAGCAAGCCGUGGCCACUGACUCAUGCAGCCCCCUCCCCCCAGCGAAGGCACUUUCCAAAAAAACAGAAAGAAGUGCAAUCCUUUCGGGUUUCUCUCUUCUCUCCAUUGCCCUGGGCAAUCAUGUUAAAACUCACAUGGCUGGUGCUUAUUCAGAUAAACCUAACAAUGCACACCGCUGGUUACCAUGUGAAUCUUCAGAAACCACACAAGAAUGUGCUGGUUCAAAUCCCCCCUACCCUCUCCAAAGCAAAAUUUAUUCAAGACAGCAAACUGCUCAGCAGCUUUAUGAAAGCAAAUGGUGCUACAGGGAAUUCUAUCUUGUAUUUACAAAUUAAAAAUUAGAUGCACCAUGCAAUAAAGGUUAGAAUAGUACCAUGAAGCUAUAAUGGUUUAUUCAAUUUUAUCACUAUUCCUCUCACUAUAAGCUAAAAAACAUAUAUACAUAUAUAUGAAAGAUGCCAUAUAUUAAUUAUCCACAUUCAAUACAAAACAUCACACAAACAGUCACAUUGCAUUCUCAUUAAAAAAAAAAAUCUUUAAAAAAACUGUACUUAAUAAAAAGAAAUAUUCUAUAGUAUGGAGAAGAAUAAAGAAACUAUUACUAUGGAAAGGUAUUUUUUCUAACCCCCCAAAUUUUAAAAUAAUAAUGAAACAAGAAAACUGAAUAAAAGCCCUAUCUAUCAUAAUUUUAUUCUUUGCAUUAAAAUGCUACUGAGUUUCAGGAAUGCUGGACAAUUUUCUAAUCUAGUUCUUGUUCUUCAUCAGUCUCAUGCUAUACAACAGAUAUAUUAAUAGACCUCUUCAGGUUGGGAAGAUCUUAAAGGUCAUUUAGUCUAAUUUCAGGUAACUGUAGUUCUAGAAAUGUUAACUCAGAGAAAAACAUGCUAAAUUGAUAAAAGAUGUGUAACUGAAUUUUAUAAUUAUUAAGAUGGUUAACUUUGAUGACUACCAAUUUUUCCACUCCGACAAGAAAUCAUUCUGAUUAUAAGCUUUAAUUUAUAAUUCUCUAUUUCUAAAACAUUUUGAUAAGAGUUUUACAACUGGAAAAUUUUCCCCACCAUACACUU